CUCCUGACCUCAGGUGAUCCGCCUGCCUCGGCCUCCCAAAGCACUGGGAUUACUGGUGUGAGCCACUGCACCCGGCCACAUUUGGUUUUCCAUUAGCCUAGAAACCUGCUCGUGGCUGACCGGGGGGUGCUGUGUGGUCCCAUCUUCUAACACAGCUCUGUCUUUUCUGUGCAGCGGCAGCAGCUGCAUUUGUUUGCCUGGGUUUGUGUGUCCAGGGCGACCCCACCUGCAUCCGAUCAUCCAGAACCCCAGGUUGCUGGAGCUUCCAGGGAGCCUCGGCCCAGUGCAGCCUGACCUGGCAACAGAGGCUGGGCCCAGCUGUCCCUCGGGGUUCACUGUGCCAACUCUCUGCUUCUGGGCCUGCCUUUCUCUUUCUCGGUUUUCUUCAUGGUGUUGUGGUUUGGAGAAGUCCCGGGAGGCAGAGCACUGAGGCCUUGCGUGCGUGAAAUGUCUGUAGCCUCCCUUCACCGGAGGGGCAGCCUGGCCUCCGUGGUGUCACAGGUGCAGAGCCUGCCGUUGAACUGCAGCUUUUGUGUGACUGAUCCUGUGUGUGCCAUCAGCUUUGCUUGAGGUUUUAGGGUCUCUGCUCCCUCCCAGCUGCACCGGGCUGUGCUGGGGGCACUAGGGGCCUUUUUAGGCCUAGGGCUUGUGGUCUUUGUGGUGGGGUCAUCCUCUCGUGCUCUCUGUUAACUUUUCCAUCAUUGUCCCUUUCUGUUGCUCCUGUUAAUCAGAUGUUGAUCCUCCCAGAUGAGGGGUCGGUCUUCUUUUUUUUGAGACAGUUUCACUCUUGUUGCCCAGGCUGGAGUAUAGUGGUGUAGUCUUGGCUCACUGCAACGUCCGUCUCCCAGCUUCAAGUGAUUUUCCUGUCUCAGCCUUCUGAGUAGCUGGGAUUACAGGCACACGCCACCACACCCAGCUAAUUUUUUGUAUUUUUUUAGUAGAGAUGGUGUUUCACCAUGUUGGUCAGGCUGGUCUCGAACUCCUGACCAGGUGAUCCGCCUGCCUUGGCCUCCCAAAGUGCUGGGAUUACAGGCGUGAGCCACUGUGCCCAGCCCCUUGCUGGACGUUUUCAUCCAUGUGGAAGGGGAUGAAGCGUGCCCCAUGGUCACACCACCCCCUCCUGUGGUCUGGGGUCCCCACCUUCCUGACCUGUUCUGUGUUGCGGUCUCCAGGCUUCUGUGCUGCUGUACCCUGCAGGGUCCUCCUGCCUCCCGAGCCUCCCCACUCCACAUGGCCCCUGCCCAGCCCUCUCCAUCCCUCUUGAAGGUGGUUCCACAGCCAGACACCGCCCCCUCUGGCCUCUCCUCUAGGGCUUGCUACCCACCCCCAUCCCCUGCUUCCACUGCCACCUGAUGUGCCCAUGAUGCCCCAGGCUGCCUCCCCACCUCUGUGGCUCCUGAGCCUGCAUGGAGGAAAGGGUAUUCUCUGGGCAAGGCACCGCCACCCCACAGGGUCCUCCCUCGCACCACAUCCAGGACAGUGGAGGCUGCUCCUGCCUUUUCCUCACAGUCCUCGGGUCACCUCUCCACCUGCCCAACUCUCGGCGGCCACCCCUCUCAGCCCCAUCCAGCUCCCGAGAAGCUUUGUCCCCUGAGGGCCCUGGGUCAUUCCUUUGACCCGUCAGGCACAGUGCAGCCUGCAUGCGAGCCUGGGCGGGCGCUGGGGACGGACGCGUGACGCAGCAGACACUGCCUCCCUGAAGGCAUUGCAGCAUGGGACGCUUGGCCUCCACCUGCAGGGGCCUCACCUGACCAGUCCCCAGCCUCAGGAGAAGGGACCCCAGCAGCUGGAGCCCCAGUGGAGUUGGGGGGAUGGUAGCAUCUGUGUCCUGGGCUCUGGGGCCGCCUCACUGUGAGGAGGGGCGUGUGGGCAUCGCGGGAGGCUCCGGGGCCACCUCACUGUGAGGAGGGGGUGUGGGCAUCGUGGGAGGUCUCACCUCGGGGCCAUGCUGAUCUUGGCUCUGAGAGCUGGUGUCCUCUGCUCCUCCCCUCCCA